rnacentral:misc_RNA from 1 species
AAUUUGAAUUAAAUGUCAGCUAUUCACCUUUUCUAGAUAAUGUUACUCUGCUAGUAAAUCAUCACUUUAGCGCUGGAUUUGUAUCCAACGUCCAUUAGAACCCACAGCGACGGUGUAAGCUUGUUCGCUCAAAAUCAUGGAAAAGCAUAAUUAAAUCUUGCAGCCUGUAGUACCAUGCCCAUUUAUAUACAGCGGUUCAAAUUUUGAUUUCCGUGAUGAGAUCAAAACUUUUAUCUGAUCAAUUCACCAGCAAUCCUAAACAGUACAAACCCUGGAAGGUGAAGCGAAAACGAAACUGGCGUUAGCUAAAGAAAAGAUGAAGAAACACUCUGCUAGUUUGACCUCUUCAGCUCGACUACUAUGACACUGAUAUUAUCUUCACUCCCCCGAGCCAUUGCCAAUUCGGCUAACAUAGCCGCUGCCUCUCUAGCACUUCUUCCAGCAAAUUUGUCCACAAAUCUUCUGUUCUUUAUCCGACCAUAAGUACUUCUUGAGAAUUUCACAAGAAAACUCGCUGGAAACAACAUCCCAUAAACCAUCCGUUCCUAUCACAAUGAAAUCAUCUGAUUCGGUGCGCUCGCUCACUGUAACCUCUGGUUCUGAGGUCACGUAAGGCUUUAAAUACUGAUCCCCUAUUGCUCUUGAAGUGCCGAGUACACCCAGGACGCGGCUACCAUUCCAGUAUAUGACCCGACCACCGGCGGCUUCUACCCUCUCUCGUUCAUCGGGCCUGUCAGGCUUAUGAUCACUAGACAAGGCCACAGCCACUCCUCCACACAACACCACUCUAGAAUCCCCACAAUUUGCCACCACCAACUCCUCCCUCCCCACCAGAACCACUGCCGCUGUGGAACCUACUGUCCUCUCUGAUAACUCCUCCCCCCCCACUUCCUCCUCCGCUCACCUCAUCAUCCAUCUUCGUAAAACACGUUCCAUCACCUUCUCCCAGUAAUCUAAUCCCUUCUUGCUAACCGAUCUACCUUUCUCCACCUCUUUUGCCACCAGCUGAUGCAUCCUAUCUCUGCAUGCGUUCGCCACCCUGGCUCCACCGUGUCCGUCGUAAACCGCAAAGAAGUCGUAACUAUCAAAUUCACCUACGGCAACUCCUGGGGCAAUUGUCAGCGCAUCUUCCAUCGCCCUCCGCCGUCCAAUCACCAAAAUCGAGCCAUGCGACACACAAGUCGUACUUCCAUCACCAUCUCCCUCACAGCCAGCCCUUAUUAUUCCGACGGGUUUCACCACUUUCUUUCCCUUAGAGCAAUCAGAAUAUGCCGACUUCUGAGAUAAUUUUACUUCAUUAGAGUUAGCAUCAUGAAUCUUGGGUUCUUUUCCACGAAAAUCAGCGUCCUCGCUGAAGGUUACUUCUGUGGGGCCUCUCUUCUUGUUCUUUGUAUACUCUCCACCAUCAUCAAGAAAAAGACCAUCGACAGAGCAAAGAUACUUCAUUUUGUUUGUGUCCAGUCCUCUCCGUCGAAAAUUGCAAUUGGAUCUCUUAAGAUGGGUUUCGCCGCCACACUCUGACAUAAUUUCCCACUUUCCAGUUUCCACCACUACCGCCUCAUGGUGGUCCUGCUUUCAUUCGAUAAUCCUUCGCUUGCAAGAAAAUAAUAAGUCGGGAAAGCCUCUUACUUAUUGUAGGAUGGAUG